GAUGAACGCUGGCGGCGUGCCUAAUACAUGCAAGUCGAGCGAACAGACGAGGAGCUUGCUCCUCUGACGUUAGCGGCGGACGGGUGAGUAACACGUGGAUAACCUACCUAUAAGACUGGGAUAACUUCGGGAAACCGGAGCUAAUACCGGAUAAUAUAUUGAACCGCAUGGUUCAAUAGUGAAAGACGGUUUUGCUGCCACUUAUAGAUGAAUCCGCGCCGCAUUAGCUAGUUGGUAAGGUAACGGCUUACCAAGGCGACGAUGCGUAGCCGACCUGAGAGGGUGAUCGGCCACACUGGAACUGAGACACGGUCCAGACUCCUACGGGAGGCAGCAGUAGGGAAUCUUGCGCAAUGGGCGAAAGCCUGACGGAGCAACGCCGCGUGAGUGAUGAAGGUCUUCGGAUCGUAAAACUCUGUUAUUAGGGAAGAACAAAUGUGUAAGUAACUAUGCACGUCUUGACGGUACCUAAUCAGAAAGCAACGGCUAACUACGUG
rnacentral:rRNA from 1 species